UACAUGGGGUGCAAACGUUGCUCGGAAUCAUUGGGCGUAAAGCGCGCGUAGGCGGUUACACAAGUUGGAUGUGAAAGCCCUCGGCUUAACUGAGGAAGUGCAUCCAAAACUGUGCAGCUAGAGUACUAAAGAGGGUCGCGGAAUUCCCGGUGUAGAGGUGAAAUUCGUAGAUAUCGGGAGGAACACCGGUGGCGAAGGCGGCGACCUGGGUAGAUUCUGACGCUGAGGCGCGAAAGCGUGGGGAGCAAACAGG
rnacentral:rRNA from 1 species